CAUUGUCUCUAGAUCUUGGACCUCAUCCCAUCUAAUCAAAAUGAGUUAGAAUUAUUCCUCUCCAAACAGAAUUAACAAAUGUAUUGAAUCCCUUAGGUCCUGAAGUAAGGAACACUUCCAUUUAUUUAAAACCAGGAUAUCUCAUAUUCAGGAUUCAAUUGCUAAGUUGAAUGCAAAAACCCCUCUAAAUGAGAACAAGAUUGCCCAGCUUAGACCUCUUAAUUCCCAAUUAGAUGCACUACUUUAUAAAGAGGAACUUUGCUGGAAGCAGCGCUUUAGAAUAAUUUGGUUGCAUGCAGGGGGUUUCUCAGGAGGAUGUCUCUUCGGUCCUUUCGUGAAUCACAGGGAGGAUAACUCAAGAUCAAUUUGACUUUCUGGCAGCCAAGUUCUCGGAAGAGGAGGUUCAUCUUGCCCUUUUCAGCUCUCAGGUGAUAAAGCGCCAAGUAGUGAUGGUUGUAAUGCUCAUUUUUAUCAGAAAAAUUGGCAUGUCUUAGGUUCAGAUUUAGUUAAGGCAGUUUUAGCUUUUUUGAAUAAUGGUGAGGAUAUUGCUAAAAUAAAUUCUACCUUACUAGUUUUGAUCCCUGAAAAGCAAAAUGCUAUGCAGCUUAAAGGCUUUAGGCACAUUAGUCUUUGUUCCACUUUAUAUAAUUAUAAAAUCAUAUCACUAAUGCUUGUGAAUCGGCUUAAACCUAUCUUGUUUUCUAUAA